UGAGGCAGGAGAAGCACUUGAGGUCAAGA
rnacentral:piRNA from 1 species